AGUGAACGCUGGCGGUAGGCCUAACACAUGCAAGUCGAACGGCAGCACAGUAAGAGCUUGCUCUUACGGGUGGCGAGUGGCGGACGGGUGAGGAAUACAUCGGAAUCUACUUUUUCGUGGGGGAUAACGUAGGGAAACUUACGCUAAUACCGCAUACGACCUACGGGUGAAAGCAGGGGAUCUUCGGACCUUGCUCGAUUGAAUGAGCCGAUGUCGGAUUAGCUAGUUGGCGGGGUAAAGGCCCACCAAGGCGACGAUCCGUAGCUGGUCUGAGAGGAUGAUCAGCCACACUGGAACUGAGACACGGUCCAGACUCCUACGGGAGGCAGCAGUGGGGAAUAUUGGACAAUGGGCGCAAGCCUGAUCCAGCCAUACCGCGUGGGUGAAGAAGGCCUUCGGGUUGUAAAGCCCUUUUGUUGGGAAAGAAAAGCAGCAGGUUAAUACCCCGCUGUUCUGACGGUACCCAAAGAAUAAGCAUCGGCUAACUUCGUG
rnacentral:rRNA from 1 species